rnacentral:rRNA from 1 species
UACGGAGGGAGCUAGCGUUGUUCGGAUUUACUGGGCGUAAAGGGCACGUAGGCGGCCUGCAUAGUUAGACGUGAAAGCCCCGGGCUCAACCCGGGAACUGCGUUUAAUACUGGCAGGCUUGAGAUUGGUAGAGGGUAGUGGAAUUCCUAGUGUAGAGGUGAAAUUCGUAGAUAUUAGGAAGAACACCAGUGGCGAAGGCGGCUACCUGGACCAAUACUGACGCUGAGGUGCGAAAGCGUGGGGAGCAAAC